CGAGAAGCCUUACGAAAUUCCCAGAACGGACAUCGUGUUGCCAUCGGGAACCCACGCGAUCGUUCCGAUUUACGGGAUUCAUAACGAUCCGGAUUAUUUUCCCGAACCGGAGAAGUUCAUUCCGGAAAGGUUUACCGAGGAAGCGAAAAGUCAACGGCAGGCUUUCACUUAUCUCCCGUUCGGGGGUGGACCCCGACUGUGCAUAGCCCAGCGAUUGGCGGAGCAGAUGGUGAAACUGGCGAUCUUCAAGAGCAUUGAAAAUUUCGAAUUCUCCCUCCGCGACGAGUCGCAGGCUCGCGUAAAGAUCGACCCCAGAGCCUUGAGAUUUCUCGAGCCCGAGAACGGGGUUCGGUUACGAGUGACGAGGAUCUCGUAGAUACGAGGAGAUCGCCAACGAUCCCCGGUGCAGUGCCACCGACAAGGACCCGAAUUUCGCGUCAAUGUUUCAAGGACUGCCGAAAAAAAAAAAGAAAAAAAAAAAAAAAACAUUGAUCGACCGAAGAACGAAUAAAAUUUCAACGAUAUACACCCGACUCUCGCGUGCCUCGAACGACGACAGAAAAGAGUUAUUCAUUGUAACCGCGAACAAA
rnacentral:misc_RNA from 1 species